UACGUAGGGGGCAAGCGUUGUCCGGAAUCAUUGGGCGUAAAGAGCGUGUAGGCGGCCCGUCAAGUCCCGUGUGAAAGCCCCCGGCUCAACCGGGGAACGGCGCGGGAAACUAGCAGGCUUGAGUUCGGUAGGGGAGACUGGAAUUCCUGGUGUAGCGGUGAAAUGCGCAGAUAUCAGGAGGAACACCGAUGGCGAAGGCAGGUCUCUGGGCCGAUACUGACGCUGAGGAGCGAAAGCGUGGGGAGCGAACAGG
rnacentral:rRNA from 1 species